rnacentral:rRNA from 1 species
CCUACGGGAGGCAGCAGUGGGGAAUAUUGGGCAAUGGGCGCAAGCCUGACCCAGCAACGCCGCGUGAAGGAAGAAGGCCCUCGGGUUGUAAACUUCUUUUAUCAGGGACGAAGCAAGUGACGGUCCCUGAUGAAUAAGCCACGGCUAACUACGUGCCAGCAGCCGCGGUAAUACGUAGGUGGCAAGCGUUAUCCGGAUUUACUGGGUGUACAGGGCGUGUAGGCGGGAAAGCAAGUCAGAUGUGAAAACCAUGGGCUCAACCUGUAGCCUGCAUUUGAAACUGUUUUUCUUGAGUACUGGGGAGGCAGGCGGAAUUCCUGGUGUAGCGGUGAAAUGCGUAGAUAUUAGGAAGAACGCCAGUGGCGAAGGCGGUCUGCUGAACAGCAACUGACGCUGAGGCGCGAAAGCGUGGGGAGCAAACAGGAUUAGAUACCCGGGUAGUC